AAAGUUAUUUUUUUAUUAUUUCUGUUUUAUUAAAUUUUCUAAGGAGGGUCCAAUCAUAAAAAGCGGGGAACCACGCUCCUAAAAGUAGCCUUAGUUGCAAGACCGGUUUCGUUAAUUGACCUUUGAUCAAUCAGAAUAGAGACAAAACAAAGUCAAGUUAGGGGAUGAAGCAAAUAGUAGAUUGCCUACUCAAUAGAUAACGACAUUAAUAAAAAAAAAAAAACAAAACAAAUAGCGGCCAUACAGAACUCAGGUUCUUGGUUACCCAAUCAAAAUGGAAGCCAUAGCCUUUUAGCAAUUUUUUUCGCACGCAAUCCAUUACUAAAACUUGCGAAUUUCUUUUCUUCUUUUCUUUUGGGUUUUGUGAAUUGUUGAUGGUUUUCUUUGGUACGAGCUCGUUAGGUAAGGAUCUGGAAAUUGUGUUUGGGAUGAUUUAUACUUACAGUAAGCAAUUACAAUUACGGAGUAUCUAAUUUAAUAUUUUGAAACGGCUUUUAAUAUUUAAGUCAGCCAAAUGUUUAUAAUUUGUCUUAGAAGGUGAAUUGCUGUGAGAACGUUCAAGAAGCUUAGAGAAUGAUGGUUUUAAUUAUCGUGUUUGGAUUUUUUUUAUUUUCUAUAUGAAAUAAGGGAUAAUGAUAUGAUCAUGAUUAUUGAUAAUUAAUAAUAGAUUUAUAUGAAGCUUAAAAAAAAUUAUAUGAAUGAAUGUGAGUUAUAUUUAAUAACUUUAAAAUACUGUGAAUCAUAUUUAAUAAUUUUAAAUAAAUUAAAAAUUAAUUAAUUUAUUAUGAGAUGAUAAUUUAAAGAGACAAAGUAAUGAUAAUUAAACGAAUCUAUUCACAUAUAAAAAAUUAUGAGAAGAACGCAUUUUGUGAUGAAAAAUCUUGAAAAUGUGAGAGGAGCCCGUUUUAUAACAAGAAGAGGGUGGAUGACAAAUUUUUUUUUUUAUAACAACAUGAUAAUCAUAUAUGUGUUGUUUUGACAAUUAUAAAUACCUUAUUGAUUGACGAGUGGCGAGUGUCUUAGCAACACGAAAACCAUUUUUCUUCCUAUGCCCAAAGUGGAAAACCACGAGACGUUGCCAGUUGUGAUGACCGCAAUGGCUUCUUCAAGUCUACUUCUUAUGACAUUAAUGGUUUCCUUCUAGCUUCCAUUAAUAUUCUUUGGUUUCUACCUACCACAACUCCUGCCUCCGUGAGCUACAAUUUUAUUAAAAAAUUAAAAAAAAUCCUUCUGAAAUUUGACAUGUGAAUUGGCUAUAACUCCUCUAAGGCCAAACAGUAAUGAAAAAAUUGAGUGAUGCAUUAAAUCCCAUUAAGCUUUGUCUGGUGUUUGCUUGUCAGCGUCACUUCAGCUAAUCAUCUAGUUUGGGGAUCGCCAACUAAUUCGGUCGACCAUAGUCCAUCGUCCAUACUAUGCGCUUUUUAAUUGUGGAUGUGGGGCUACCCUUGUUCUCCCUCUGGCGAUGGGGAUGGGAAUCUUUUGUCAUUUCGCACACCACAUCCGUGUCCAAAAGUUGGCAUCUGUAUCCUUUCCCAAUUGGCUUUGUCCACCGCACAUUCCUUGAUUGCAACAAUUCUCUACUGAGAGAACCAAAUUCCAAUUCUAAAUGCAAAUAUUUUGGCAAUUGGCCCCUACAUAGCACCCUCACCCCCCCCCCCCCCCAACCCGCCUCUCUCUCUUUCCGUGACCAUGUCCCUUCUUCCACCCGAUUUUGAGAAAAAAGAGAUUUUAAAGCUUCUUUCAAUCAAGUUUGUAAGCUUUUCUUUUUUUAAAUAAUCAAAUAAAAAUUAAAUUUAAAACACAAAUUUCAUAAGUUAAUAGAGUUUAACUAUAAAAAUUAGUAAUAUAUAAAAAAUUAUGUAAAAAUUGAAUCUACAUGUCUACCUAUCUAUAAAAUUUAAUUAAUAGUUAUUGAAUAUUUAUGAAAAAAUACAUAUCAUUUAUAAUUGUUAUAAUGGUUUUAAAAUCGUAUGAAGAAUUUUAAAAUGAAAUUAAAAAAAUAAAAAAAGUAGAGUUGUUACCAAU
rnacentral:lncRNA from 1 species